AUGCGUAUUUUUUCCGAGCCCAUGUUAAUGGAUCAGAGCGUUCACACUGCACACGGUAAAGGAUGUGAACAAAAAAGGUUAGAAAUAGAAAGGUGCGAAAAGAAUGAAUAUCUAGCUCAUGAGCAUAGAGAGAGUUGUGAGUUCGCAGAACUCGCUCUCGCUGCUGCUUCUGCACCGCAUACACAUACUGUAUACGCACUGCAGACGGAGUACGUGUGAACCUGUAUAAUGUAUAAAAAAUCUAUUUCAACACGAGGCACCACUACAAUGAGCUCUAUGACCAAUGCAUGACAAGAAAACAUGCCUAAUAAUUCAGCACUCCUGAAUAUAAGGAGUUUUUCACUUCCAGUCUUCAAGGACAAUUAUAUAUCACUCAUAAAUGAUUAAAUACCAAAUGUAUAGUAUUUAUUAAGAUUGAUGUGAUUUGGAAUUGGUAAAAUGUGCUUGGAAAAAAAAUAUAAGAAUAUCAAUGUGACUAAUUAUUAUGCACUCAACGAAAAAGCAUUUUUAAUGAUUUUAUUGAUUUAUAAGCAUUUGUAAAAUAUUUUUGCCUGCAUUACAGCUAAGUCUACGUUUUGUUUUUAUAUCUUUUUAUGUUGCAAUUAACAUAAUUCUUAACCUAAUUAUUUAAAAUCAUGUUGUCUGUGCCCUACAAAUUGUACUAGGUGUCCCUAAAACUGACAGAAAAGGAUAAGGCCUAAGAGAUUUCUUAAGCUGUAAUGAUAAAAACAACAACAACAACAACAACACACAAUUACUGAUCUGGUGAUUAAAGAGAUGUUAACUCUCUCUGUCUCUCUCUCUCUCUGUCAGCCAGCCCCCCCCCCUUCCCUCACACAGAGAGAGUGGCCUCAGAGUGAGAUCAGAUGUCUGACAGUUUUUUAAUUUUCUGUUAUCCAUACAGUGUUGUAAAGUCGUGAAACUAUGCAUAUUUCCUCAGAAUGACUUCUACUCUGUAUGAGAAAAAUGGUUUUGAAGUGUUUGCAAGUUGCAAUUUAAAAAUACAAGACAAGUAAUGUUUCCCUUUUUACUGUUAUUUCAAAAAAUCACCACGGCAAAACCGUUCAAGCUAUCCAAAAUCCAUUCGCAAUUUAGGUUCCUCAAUGUUUUGUCAUCAUGUAGACAAAGUUUGGUGUGUAUAGUGUAAUUUUCCUCUGAGCAGUAUGCAUUAAUUCACAGCAAUAUUUUUUUCCAAAAAUCCACAUUUAAACUCAAAAAUAGCCGACUUCCUGUUGGUCGUAGCUGAUGACUGUAAAUUAGAAAGUUGUCCGUCUUGAUAAGAACAAUAUAUGUACCGAGUUUGGUGUCUGUAGCUAAAACUAACCCCCGACUUUUUGACAAAAAGGUGGCGCUAUAGAGUGCCUCCUCCACGCCCUUUCAUGUGCUUUUUCCAUUGUCUAGCUAUCAUUAAUACUGAUAUGUGUUUUGAGUUUCAUGUAAUUCUGAGCAUGUUAUCUGCCUCAAAAAUCACCAGAACAGAA
ensembl:lncRNA